rnacentral:misc_RNA from 1 species
UUUCCGUAGGUGAACCUGCGGAAGGAUCAUUAUUGAAUAUGCUUGAUAGGUUGUAGCUGGCUCUUCGGAGUAUGUGCACGCUUAUCUUGACUUAAUUCAUCCACCUGUGCACCUUUUGUAGUCUUGGGGGUUGAGAUCGGUCGACUAUCGGAUGGCCAAGGUCAUUCCGGAUGUGAGGAAUGCUGAGUGCGAAAGCAUACAGCUCUUCUCAAAUGACUUGUCUUCCUCGAGUACUAUGUAUUCAUAUACCACAUAGUAUGUUGUAGAAUGUGAUCAAUGGGUCUAUGUACCUAUAAUAAUUAUAUACAACUUUCAGCAACGGAUCUCUUGGCUCUC